UACGUAGGGGGCAAGCGUUGUCCGGAUUCAUUGGGCGUAAAGAGCUCGUAGGCGGCUUGGCAAGUCGGGUGUGAAAACUCCAGCUCAACCUGGAGACGCCACCCGAUACUGCCAUGGCUAGAGUCCGGUAGGGGACCACGGAAUUCCUGGUGUAGCGGUGGAAAUGCGCAGAUAUCAGGAGGAACACCGGUGGCGAAGGCGGUGGUCUGGGCCGGAACUGACGCUGAGGAGCGAAAGCGUGGGGAGCGAACAGG
rnacentral:rRNA from 1 species